CAGCCGCCGCGGUAAUACGAAGGGUGCAAGCGUUAAUCGGAAUUACUGGGCGUAAAGCGUGCGUAGGCGGUGAGUUAAGUCUGCUGUGAAAUCCCCGGGCUCAACCUGGGAAUGGCAGUGGAUACUGGCUCGCUAGAGUGUGUCAGAGGAUGGUGGAAUUCCCGGUGUAGCGGUGAAAUGCGUAGAGAUCGGGAGGAACAUCAAUGGCGAAGGCGGCCAUCUGGGACAACACUGACGCUGAGGCACGAAAGCGUGGGGAGCAAACAGGAUUAGAUACCCCUGUAGUCCCUGUCUCUUAUAC
rnacentral:rRNA from 1 species